AGUGAACGCUGGCGGUAGGCCUAACACAUGCAAGUCGAACGGCAGCACAGUAAGAGCUUGCUCUUACGGGUGGCGAGUGGCGGACGGGUGAGGAAUACAUCGGAAUCUACUUUUUCGUGGGGGAUAACGUAGGGAAACUUACGCUAAUACCGCAUACGACCUACGGGUGAAAGCAGGGGAUCUUCGGACCUUGCGCGAUUGAAUGAGCCGAUGUCGGAUUAGCUAGUUGGCGGGGUAAAGGCCCACCAAGGCGACGAUCUGUAGCUGGUCUGAGAGGAUGAUCAGCCACACUGGAACGGAGACACGGUCCAGACUCCUACGGGAGGCAGCAGUGGGGAAUAUUGGACAAAGGGCGCAAGCCUGAUCCAGCCAUACCGCGUGGGUGAAGAAGGCCUUCGGGUUGUAAAGCCCUUUUGUUGGGAAAGAAAAGCAGCAGGUUAAUACCCCGCUGUUCUGACGGUACCCAAAGAAUAAGCAUCGGCUAACUUCGUG
rnacentral:rRNA from 1 species